rnacentral:rRNA from 1 species
CACGUAGGGCGCAAGCGUUGUCCGGAAUUAUUGGGAGUAAAGAGCUCGUAGGCGGUCUGUUGCGUCAGGAGUGAAAACUCGGGGCUUAACCCCGAGCCUGCUUCUGAUACGGGCAGACUAGAGGUAUGCAGGGGAGAACGGAAUUCCUGGUGUAGCGGUGAAAUGCGCAGAUAUCAGGAGGAACACCGGUGGCGAAGGCGGUUCUCUGGGCAUUACCUGACGCUGAGGAGCGAAAGUGUGGGGAGCGAACAGG